rnacentral:rRNA from 1 species
UGGGGAAUAUUGCACAAUGGAGGGAACUCUGAUGCAGCGACGCCGCGUGAACGAAGAAGGCCUUCGAGUCGUAAAGUUCUUUUAUAUGGGAAGAUAAUGACGGUACCAUAAGAAAAAGCCCCGGCUAACUACGUGCCAGCAGCCGCGGUAAUACGUAGGGGGCUAGCGUUGUCCGGAAUCACUGGGCGUAAAGGGUUCGCAGGCGGAAAUGCAAGUCAGGUGUAAAAGGCAGUAGCUUAACUACUGUAAGCAUUUGAAACUGCAUAUCUUGAGAAGAGUAGAGGUAAGUGGAAUUUUUAGUGUAGCGGUGAAAUGAGUAGAUAUUAAAAAGAAUACCGGUGGCGAAGGCGACUUACUGGGCUCAUUCUGACGCUGAGGAACGAAAGCGUGGGUAGCAAACAGG